GUGAAAGUUGCCUUAAAAUCUCUCCUUGAAAUACAACAAAGUUUGAUACUUUUAACCUCUGUGAGAUUCCCAACACAUUUUGUUGAAAUGAUUUAUUUACUUAUGUGUCAUAUUGUUGUCUUUAUUUGAAGAAUUCAGCGUGAAGCCUACCACAUACCAUAUGACUAAUAAUUGUGUCUUGAAUGAAUAUUUGAACAAAUGAAUAAAUCAGUCAAACUGGGUCCCUGGACCAUGCAGAGAACAACUGUCCCUUCCUCUUUGGUGGUUUCCUCACAACUCUUGAGGUGCUCCUUGUCUGUGGCACAGAGGUGCAGACCAAGUCACUGGGACAUGGCCAAUGGAAUGUUUCCACGGCAACAGUGGCAGCAAUUCAGUGAGUAGCUUUUCCAUUCUUCCUUCAUGACCUUCAGGCUAUAAAUUGUUUCAGAGAGGGAAAAAAACAAAACAAAACUGUUUUUCCCUUAAAAUAUAAUAUAAUUCAUUUAGAUUCAUUCUAAUGAGACAGUUAUGAGACUAGGAAUAUUCCCAAGACAUGAAUCCAGUAAGUAAGUGGUUUUGCUACUAACAAGCUAUGUGACCUUGGGCAAGUCAGUUAUUCUCUACAAGCCCUGACUUCCUCAUCUACAAAGUAUGAAUAAAAAUGUAUGUACACUUCA
rnacentral:lncRNA from 1 species